AGCGGCCUCCGUGCCAUCCUCGUCAUCUCGGUAGUCGAAGGCUUUCCUUGUCCUCCGUGAUUGAUGAUGAUGCUAUUGUGUGCUCUGCUCACAGUGCUCGCUCGACUUGCUUGUGUGUUCUCCACGGCCAUUCUUUUGUAGAGCCUGGUAAGCUAGCUUCAGUAACUCUUGUUUCAGUUAAUUACCCGCUGUCUGCGCUUCAGUAACUCUGAGAUGAGACAGUCUGCUUUCACCUUCUAUUCAUUUCUACACUUGGUUCAUGUCGUUACUCUAUCUAUGCAUUGUGGGAGCACUUGUGCUCAAGAGGCACUGGGUAGUGGCUGGCGUACCAAGCUGGGAGGAUGAGAGAACCAAAGGAGGGGGAGGAAGUGGACUCGAAGGAGAUCAUACGCAAGGCACCUCCUCUUCGGUUGUGAGAGUGUCCAGGGGUCGUGGGUGCGGCUAAUGCCUAUAAUUUAUAAUUUCCUGAGCAAUGCACAUGGACGAUAUCUGGAGCGGUCAUGAGGAUGAGCUAAUUUUUGAAAAAAAGUUUGAAGAGGUGCCCAGUUUGUGCUUGCUACCGAAGGAGCUCCAUGUUGAAGAAGAUUGAAGACACUUGUAGAGCUACAGGGUUAACACCAGGGCACUGUAUCACGUGUAGAGCUUGUAGAGCUUGUAUAUGUUAGAGCUUAU